UACGAAGGGUGCAAACGUUGCUCGGAAUUAUUGGGCGUAAAGAGCUCGUAGGCGGUCUGUCGCGUCGGCUGUGAAAUCCCGAGGCUCAACCUCGGGUCUGCAGUCGAUACGGGCAAACUUGAGUGUUGCAGGGGAGACUGGAAUUCCUGGUGUAGCGGUGAAAUGCGCAGAUAUCAGGAGGAACACCGGUGGCGAAGGCGGGUCUCUGGGCAACAACUGACGCUGAGGAGCGAAAGCGUGGGGAGCGAACAGG
rnacentral:rRNA from 1 species